ensembl:lncRNA
CCACCCCUUCUUGUCAUUCUUUCAUCUCUAACUGUGUGCAUCAGACACACGUGAAACCAGACCACAGGUGUUGUCACUACUGUUUCUUUUACAGCUGAGGAUGUCCCAAGGGAGCUAUUUCUGGCCUUGUCCCCAUUGUGCAGGUUGAAAGAUUAAGGAGGCCCUGGGAGGCACAAUGGUGUUUCCAAGACACAGAGCUUCUAGGGAAAAAGAGGCCUGAACUCAGCUGAGCUCAGCUUCCUCAAGCUGGAAGCCUGGUUCCAUCUCAAGGUCCUGUGUGGGGCUCUGUGCUGGCUAAUUGCGUACAGUUCUGGAGAUGAUAUGGGCAAGGAGGGUGAGCAGCCAAGAGCCCAGAGGUGGUUUGGUUGGGUGUGAUUGAAGAAAGGGGCCCGGGUAAGGGAACCUUGAGGUAGUGACCUCACUUCCUUCGUGACAGACCCCAACAGAACUUAGCACACUGGUCUCCAGGAGCCCACAUUCUAGACAUAGCCUCCUAUUGAGCUCACUUGAGUGGAGACAUUCAAGAGAACAACAUGUUCUACUAUUGUCUCCCGACUUCUCUAGGCUGUGGCUUCAGGAAAGCCAAGAAACAGAGUCUUUUCAGUCACUACACACAUUGGCUUGGCCCUCACCUGCACCGCCUCUGGCCAUUUGGCAGGAGGAGACCUCAGAGCUGCACACAGGAGGUGGUCGAAGAGCUGACGGAUGGCUUCGGGUACUCCAUCUUCCUGGACAUGGGGCAGCUCCACCAUGCCACCAUCAAUAACCAGGGCUGCUCCGAGUGUGAAGAUGAGUCCACUCUGUCUGUAACUGAGGCCUGCAGGAUGCGUGCCCUCCAGGCAGGCAUGAUGCAGAGGCUCUCAGAGUCUGUGCUGAACAGCCUUCCCCAGCAGAGUCCUCUGCAGUGUCAUCAACUCCCUCUACAGCUACUCAGGCCCCAGCAUUUCCCACCAGGUCCUGGACCAGCUGUUUCCCAGUGCUAUCUAUUUCCUGCUGGGAACCUGGCUGUGCCAAGGGCAGGAUUGCAGGGAGUCCCUGCAGUUUCCCUGUUGGACCCUGCAGCUGGCCACUGUGCAUGUCAGCUUUGGUGGCUCACACGUGGAGGGCCAUGCCUACCUUCUGCCAGGCCACCUGGAGCACCUCAAAGCCAUUGAGGCCAAACAGAAAGAGCCAGCUCCAAAGCUCCUGCCAUUUCCAGAGCCAGAGCCAGUGUCAGCACCUGGGCUAGAGGCAGCUGCACCUCCAGUGUCACCACCUGUGUUAGAGCUGAAGCCAGCAGCCCCUGAGUUGGCACCUCAAGGGCCAGAGCAAGGGCCACCAUUAAAGGCAGCCCCAGAGCCAGCUCAUGCACUUGAGCCCACUGGACGCUGACCUCCACUCAGCCUUCCAGUUCCAUCUUCACCAGCCACGAGCCCUCCAGAUCCAGCCCCGGAGCCCACCUGCCCCUGGGCUGUGACCACCGAGGACCAGCUGUGGGAGGAGAAGCCGAACAUCUUGGACUUCCCUCCCCAGCUGGUGGCAGAGCAGCUGACGAGGAUGGCUGCGGAGCUGUUCAAGACAUUGGUGCCCGCCCACUGCCUUGGCUCCAUCUGGUCCGAGCGAGACAACAGGGAACGCGAGUACCUGGCACCCACCGUCCGUGACACUGUGACGCAAGACAACACCGUGGCCAAUUCCAUCCUCAUCAC